rnacentral:rRNA from 1 species
AAUCAACGCUGGCGGCGUGCCUAACACAUGCAAGUCGAACGCGAAAGCCCGCAAGGGUAAGUAGAGUGGCGCACGGGUGAGUAACACGUGGACAACCUGCCUUCGAGUGGGGAAUAACCUUCCGAAGGAGGGCUAAUACCGCAUAACACCUCGGGACACAAGUUCUGGGGUUGGAAAAGAGCAAUUUGCUCGAAGAGGGGUCCGCGCCUGAUUAGCUAGUUGGUGAGGUAACGGCUCACCAAGGCUUCGAUCAGUAGCCGUCCUGAGAGGGAGCACGGCCACACUGGAACUGAGACACGGUCCAGACUCCUACGGGAGGCAGCAGUGGGGAAUUUUGCAAUGGGCGAAAGCCUGACCAAGCAACGCCGCGUGGGU